GGGGUGUGCAAUAGACUUACCUCCACGUGGUGCACCCCGGGCAACGUAUGCUCAUACGGCCAAAAGUCUAUA
rfam:Hymenolepis nana genome assembly, scaffold: HNAJ_contig0003048